UACGUAGGUGGCAAGCGUUGUCCGGAUUUACUGGGCGUAAAGGGCGUGCAGGCGGUCUGUUAAGUGCAGGGUGAAAGCUCCCGGCUCAACUGGGAGAGGUCCUUGCAUACUGGCGGACUUGAGGGGGGUAGAGGAAAGUGGAAUUCCCGGUGUAGUGGUGAUAUGCGUAGAUAUCGGGAGGAACACCUGUGGCGAAGGCGGCUUUCUGGGCCCUACCUGACGCUGAGACGCGAAAGCGUGGGGAGCGAACCGGG
rnacentral:rRNA from 1 species